rnacentral:rRNA from 1 species
UCUCGGCAAACAUAAGCCUCGCCUGUUUACCAAAAACAUCGCCUCCUGCAAAAGCAACGUAUAGGAGGUCCAACCUGCCCAGUGAAAAUUAAACGGCCGCGGUAUUUUGACCGUGCAAAGGUAGCGCAAUCACUUGUCUUUUAAAUAAAGACCUGUAUGAACGGUGAAACGAGGGCUUAACUGUCUCCCCCCUCUGAUCAGUGAAAUUGACCUACCCGUGCAGAGGCGGGUAUAAAUAUACAAGACGAGAAGACCCUAUGGAGCUUAAGACACAAAGUCAACUUUGUCAAAAAUUCUCAAACACAAGAAUUAAACAAAAUAGCAACUGACUGACGUCUUCGGUUGGGGCGACCACGGAGGAAAGCAAAUCCCCCAUGUGGGCUGGGAUAUUCCUAAAACCAAGAGACACACCUCUAAGCCACAGAACUUCUGACCAAGAGAUCCGGUACUAACCGAUCAACGGACCAAGUUACCCUAGGGAUAACAGCGCAAUCCACUCUAAGAGUCCAUAUCGACGAGGGGGUUUACGACCUCGAUGUUGGAUCAGGACAUCCYAAUGGUGCAA